CCAUGGCGGGCCUGGAAAAUACCUUUUGCAGAAUCCGGGUGGGAGUGCCUCUGUCAGGUUUUGUAACUUUCAGCCUCGGAUUGGCUGGGUUGGUAUCACAAAGCAGGGGCGGAUCCAGAGCAAAUUUGAAGGAGGGGCAGCUGGUAAUGGGGGCGCUGAAAAUUUUUCAAAAAUUGGUGACAAGAGUACGCUGUUUACAACAAUUUCAGACCCAUUUUCGGAAUAAACAACAUAACUUUCAGGCAUGGUUCUUGGGUCGCAAAAGUAUGGAGAAGGUAGGUCAAAAUGGCGGCUUACAGUGACCAUGGGCCUAAGCUGACCAAUUUCAAAAUCAAAAUUAUGAGGUGAAGGGACUUGUAAACGAUA